rnacentral:ncRNA from 1 species
GUCGUAUAAAAAUGUAUUAGAUGCAAGACAAUCUAGCAUUUCCCUUUACGGCAUUAUACUAAAUUUAGAAGUUCAAACAACAAUAAUUGUUGUGUGGUCAAGAAUCGAAACAAUUUGAGUUUGAACGGAAGAGGUUAACCGUAUGACCUUGUGUUGAAAAACACUAAAAAUAAUCUCGAAUGAUGAUUUUUAAAAUUUCGUUAUUUUGAGUUACGGUCCG